rfam:Gossypium raimondii chromosome 5, whole genome shotgun sequence.
GGUAGUUUUAGAUAUUAAGCCAAAAAUAACAAAUAUCCCGAACCUGGGUGAUCUAUCCAUGACUAGGAUGAAGCUUGGGUGAAACUAAGUGGAGGUCUGAACCGACUGAUGUUGAAGAAUCAGCAGAUGAGCUGUGGUUGGAGGUGAAAUGCCACUCGAACUCAAAGCUAGUUAGUUCUCUUCAAAAUGCGUUGAGGCACAACAGUUGACUAGACAUCUAAGGGUAAAGCACUGUUUUGGUGUGGGUUGCGAGAGUGGUACCAAAAGUCGAGGCAAACUCUGAAUACUAUAUAUGACCUCAAAAUAAUAGGGGUCAAGGUCGGCCAGUGAGACGAUGAGGGAUAAGCUUCAUUGUCAAGAGGGACACAACUCGGAUCACCAGGUAUGUAACACCCCUAACCCGUAUCCUUCUCUAGAAUAGGGUUAUAGAGCAUUACCGGAGUUUACAAAUUCAUUUUCAGACAUUUC